GGAUGGAGUUGCCAUGGAAACGGAGCCCAACACUGCAAAUGUCACGAGGAAACACCCCGUUUCUCGCUGAUUUCACUAAUGGUUUAAUGUCUUCGAAAAAGUCCGUUAGCAUUUCUACCGUUUUCAGACGACGUAUCGUCAGAAGGCAGUGUCCAAGAUUUCAAUAUUUCUGAAGGGAGCUGCUGACAGAGAUGUAGGAAGCGCUGAAAAGGUUAAGUAACCUAAUAUGCAUUUUUUUUCACAACAUAUAUCACAAUGAAUCUGUUAUUUUAUUUAUUUAUUUUUUGCAUUUCACCUGCUCUAGCUUGUUUCCAUCUAAUAAACCUGGAACUGCAGACUAAAUAUUGUUGGCUCUGUGUCAAAUUGCUUGUUUUGUUCCUAGUUUCUUCAGUGCUUCUUCAUGGCCUGCUGCAUCCAGCAAAGUCGGAGUGAACCUACUGUAAGACAACAUCUCAAAGAUGCUAUUGACCACAAGACUAGUACAGGUUAUUAGAAACUGCAUAGCACAAGACUUGCAGGACUUGUGAGGACUUCAGAUGAUACCAGUACUCAAAAGACCUUAGAUGAUGGCAACUAUAGAUGGACAUACAAACUACCGCCACUGCAAAAAAGAUUCUAAUUUGAAAGAAGUUUAUAAUGCAUGUUCGCUACUCCCAAUUCAGAAGACUGAAUCAGCCUGUGUAUCUGAAUGUUUCUCAUACUCACUCCUCUCUGCCGCGUCUCAC